AUUUUUCAUAAGCGGAGGAAAAGAACCAACAGGGGAUUGCCUUAGUAACGGCGAGUGAAGCGGCAAAAGCUCAAAUUUGAAAUCUGGCACCUUCGGUGUCCGAGUUGUAAUUUGAAGAAGGUAACUUUGGAGUUGGCUCUUGUCUAUGUUCCUUGGAACAGGACGUCACAGAGGGUGAGAAUCCCGUGCGAUGAGAUGCCCAAUUCUAUGUAAAGUGCUUUCGAAGAGUCGAGUUGUUUGGGAAUGCAGCUCUAAGUGGGUGGUAAAUUCCAUCUAAAGCUAAAUAUUGGCGAGAGACCGAUAGCGAACAAGUACAGUGAUGGAAAGAUGAAAAGAACUUUGAAAAGAGAGUGAAAAAGUACGUGAAAUUGUUGAAAGGGAAGGGCUUGAGAUCAGACUUGGUAUUUUGCGAUCCUUUCCUUCUUGGUUGGGUUCCUCGCAGCUUACUGGGCCAGCAUCGGUUUGGAUGGUAGGAUAAUGACUAAGGAAUGUGGCUCUACUUCGGUGGAGUGUUAUAGCCUUGGUUGAUACUGCCUGUCUAGACCGAGGACUGCGUCUUUGACUAGGAUGUUGGCAUAAUGAUCUUAAGCCACCCGUCUU
rnacentral:rRNA from 1 species